rnacentral:tRNA from 1 species
CAAAGAAUAGUUAAGAUCAGAAUCUUA